GUGGGGAAUAUUGGACAAUGGGCGCAAGCCUGAUCCAGCCAUGCCGCGUGAGUGAUGAAGGCCCUAGGGUUGUAAAGCUCUUUCACCGGUGAAGAUAAUGACGGUAACCGGAGAAGAAGCCCCGGCUAACUUCGUGCCAGCAGCCGCAGUAAUACGAAGGGGGCUAGCGUUGUUCGGAAUUACUGGGCGUAAAGCGCACGUAGGCGGACAUUUAAGUCAGGGGUGAAAUCCCGGGGCUCAACCCCGGAACUGCCUUUGAUACUGGGUGUCUGGAGUAUGGAAGAGGUAAGUGGAAUUCCGAGUGUAGAGGUGAAAUUCGUAGAUAUUCGGAGGAACACCAGUGGCGAAGGCGGCUUACUGGUCCAUUACUGACGCUGAGGUGCGAAAGCGUGGGGAGCAAACAGGAUUAGAAACCCCGGUAGUCC
rnacentral:rRNA from 1 species